rnacentral:rRNA from 1 species
CGCGUGGAGCAUGUGGCUUAAUUUGACUCAACACGGGAAAUCUUACCGGGUCCGGACAUACCGAGGAUUGACAGACUGUUAACUGCAACACAUGCUGCUAAGUUUUAAACUUAAUAGCUCUUUCAUGAUUAUAUGAUAGGUGGUGCAUGGCCGUUCUUAGUUCGUGGAGUGAUCUGUCUGCUUAAUUGCGUUUCAAAAUCUAAACCUGAGCGACAAGGUGCUGCUAUCGAAACUGUCUUUGAGUGUGAACUAUAAGUCUUUUGACUUAUGACCAUCACUCUAGACGUUUAUGUUUUGGUGUUGGCCCUUGAUGCUCAUUUGAACGCAACGGACGUGAUUGCAACCCCUUGUUGAGAUUUAUCCGAUCUCUACGUUCACUGAACCACACUCUUUAGCGAGAGCAGUGGGGAUGUGGAUAAACUCGGGGGACUGCUGACUAUAAACUUUUCUCAAACCAGAGGAAGGUCGGCAAUAACAG